rnacentral:RNase_P_RNA from 1 species
AAGAACUGCUGUAUGGUUUCCAUAUAGAGGAAAGUCCGGACACCACAAGGGAAGAUAAUGGGCAAUACCCAUCAGGAGUAAUCCGAGGAUAAGAGCCACAGAGACGAGCCUGUUAAGUCAGGGUGAAACGCGGCAAUCUCUAUCUGGUGCAAGACUAAACAGGAUAGCGUUGAUUACCCUUGGGAGCUAUCGGGUAAGUCGCAAAGAAAUAUGCAGUAAUGUAUAUUCAAGAUGAAUAGUUCUUUAUAACAGAAUCCGGCUUAUAGACUGUCCACUUUU